rnacentral:tRNA from 1 species
GAGCGUAUAGCUCAGUGGUAGAGUGCCUGCUUAGCAUGCACAAGGUCUUGAGUUCAAUCCCCAGUACCUCU